rnacentral:rRNA from 1 species
CCUACGGGAGGCUGCAGUGAGGAAUCUUGGACAAUGGGGGAAACCCUGAUCCAGCCAUGCCGCGUGAGUGAUGAAGGCCUUCGGGUUGUAAAGCUCUUUUAGAUGUGAAGAUGAUGACGGUAGCAUCAGAAAAAGCUCCGGCUAACUCCGUGCCAGCAGCCGCGGUAAUACGGAGGGAGCGAGCGUUGUUCGGAAUUACUGGGCGUAAAGCGUAUGUAGGCGGCUUUGUAAGUCGGGUGUGAAAUCCCAGGGCUUAACCCUGGAACUGCAUUCGA